rnacentral:tRNA from 1 species
AGAAACUUAGGCUAAAACAGACCAAAGGCCUUCAAAGCCUCAAGCGGGAGUGUGAAUCUCCUAGUUCCUG